AUACGGAGGGGGCAAGCGUUGUUCGGAAUUACUGGGCGUAAAGCGCGCGUAGGCGGGCUGGUUAGUUGGGGGUGAAAUCCCAGGGCUUAACCCUGGAACUGCCUCCAAUACUGCCAGUCUAGAGUUCGAGAGAGGUGAGUGGAAUUCCUAGUGUAGAGGUGAAAUUCGUAGAUAUUAGGAAGAACACCAGUGGCGAAGGCGGCUCACUGGCUCGAUACUGACGCUGAGGUGCGAAAGCGUGGGGAGCAAACAGGAUUAGAUACCCCGGUAGUCC
rnacentral:rRNA from 1 species